rnacentral:rRNA from 1 species
UAGGCUUAACACAUGCAAGUCGAGCGCACUCUUUUUAGAGUGAGCGGCAAACGGGUGAGUAACGCGUGGGAAUCUACCCAUUUCUACGGAAUAACACAGAGAAAUUUGUGCUAAUACCGUAUACGUCCUAUUGGAGAAAGAUUUAUCGGAGAUGGAUGAGCCCGCGUUGGAUUAGCUAGUUGGUGAGGUAACGGCUCACCAAGGCGACGAUCCAUAGCUGGUCUGAGAGGAUGAUCAGCCACACUGGGACUGAGACACGGCCCAGACUCCUACGGGAGGCAGCAGUGGGGAAUAUUGGACAAUGGGGGCAACCCUGAUCCAGCCAUGCCGCGUGAGUGAUGAAGGCCCUAGGGUUGUAAAGCUCUUUCAA